rnacentral:miRNA from 1 species
GGUUAGCCAAAACGUUCGUUCGGGUUUUUCUGUAAGAUCUUAUGGAAAAACCCAAAAGAACUUUCUGGCCAACC